UAUCGGUGAGGAAAUCUUUCCCACUUUUUGUUUCUCUCUCGGCGAUACGUAUAAUCUUAUCUUAUCGUCCCCGCUUUUUCAAUUACAACUAUAAAAUGACAUAAGAGUUCAGAGUAUUUUCCAAUAUGCAAUGGCAGGGGCGUGAGGCUCCGGUAUCGGCUUUUGUCAAGCAGAGAAAUCUGAGGGGCAAUGCAAGAUAAGAUGAGGAUGUCUGAGUUUCCAGACUUUCAGUGCUCUGUAAAUUAUUUGCUGAUGAAAUAUUGUACUUGAGCAAGGAUCACAUCACAACUGAAAUUAGAGAUUCAGCGCUGUCUGCUACAUGCUGAAGACCCGAGCAUACUCCAAGCAGAAAGCCACAAGUGGAAAUUGAUACUCCACCCUAAUGGAGAUGACAGCAACACCACAAAAGAUCACAUCUCAAUAUAUCUGGCUGUUUCGACAGAAUCUACUCUCAAAAUCGGCUAGGACAUAUCGCCGAUGUCUGUUUCUUUGUGCGCAAUCAAGUUUCCGAUACAUACAAUCAGACAAGGAAGCUUUCACUAUAUCCGAGGGGCUAUGGGACGCAGAAGGGCUGAUUUCUUUUACUAUAUCUUCGCUUUCUCAAAGAAAAAGACAGUAAGAAGCAACAGCUUGAACGCGAUGGGCACCUUCACUGUAUAGUAUAGUUCAAAAGCAGCAGCUUGAAUGCUCCCAUUCCUGUGUGUGAGCCGUGUUGCUCAUGCGCUCAUAUUGCUUUUCCGUUCAAGUCUCCACUUUAGAGGACUGAACGUUCUUUAUUAAUCUAAGCUAUGGUGUGGUUCAACCCAUGAACGAUGAGUGGGGCUUUUCUUCAUUCGUGCCAAAGACUACUUUGUCGAAGAUGAUCCAGUACCAUCGAAUUGGAGGUCGCUGUGCUCGUUGCAAGUUACCUUGAGACAUUUGAUGCCAAACGGCUACUUCUUGCAAUGUUUUUCUUAAUCAGAAACUGAUAAACUGUGACAGUGUCAUUAUUCUA